AGGGAAUAUUGCACAAUGGGGGAAACCCUGAUGCAGCGACGCCGCGUGAGUGAUGAAGGCCUUCGGGUCGUAAAGCUCUGUCGUAUGGGACUAACACAAUGAAGGUACCAUGCAAGAAAGGAUCGGCUAACUUCGUGCCAGCAGCCGCGGUAAGACGAGGGAUCCUAGCGUUGUUCGGAAUUAUUGGGCGUAAAGCGGGUGUAGGCGGAUCUAUAAGUCAGGUGUGAAAUCCCAGGGCUCAACCCUGGAAGUGCACUUGAUACUGUAGAUCUUGAGUGUGGUAGAGGUUACUGGAAUUCCUGGUGUAGUGGUAAAAUACGUAGAUAUCAGGAGGAAUACCGGAGGCGAAGGCGAGUAACUGGGCCAACACUGACGCUGAGACCCGAAAGCGUGGGGAUCAAAC
rnacentral:rRNA from 1 species